GUUAUAUAUUGUAUAUCAGAGGCCCAGAUAAGAUGCGUAUUCGGGUAAAAUACGCAAAGAAAAUUUCCAAAAUACGCAUUGAAAAAUAAUUGUUGCGUACCAAUUACGCAUUUAAAAUGUUAGAUACGCAAAACGUUUAAAACA